rnacentral:tRNA from 2 species
GCCGUCGUAGCUCAGUUGGUUAGAGCGCCAGUUUGUGGCACUGGAGGUCCCCUGUUCAAUUCAGGGCGGCGGUACCA